rnacentral:rRNA from 1 species
UAAACUACGAUUAGAUACCCUAUUAUUUUAAAUGUAAAUUUAAAAGACUUGAGUAGUAAUAGUUAUGUUCUUGAAACUCAAAGAAUUUGGCGGUGUUUUAGUCUUUUCAGAGGAACCUGUCCCGUAAUCGAUAAUCCACGUUAAACCUUACUUAUCUUUGUUAUCAGCUUGUAUACCGCCGUCGUCAGAAUGUCCUAAGAAGGUUUUAAUUUUCUUAAAUUUUUAUUAAAAAUGAUGUCAGGUCAAGGUGUAGCUUAUGGAUAAGUGGAGAUGGGUUACAAUAAAUAUAUUUAUAAUGAAUAAAGUCUUGAAAUAGGCUUUUGAAGGUGGAUUUGAUGGUAAUUAAAUUAAUUAAGUUAGUUUGAUUUUAGCUCUAAAACAUGCACACAUCGCCCGUCGCUCUUA